rnacentral:rRNA from 1 species
GAUGAACGCUGGCGGCAUGCCUAAUACAUGCAAGUCGAGCGAACAGACGAGGAGCUUGCUCCUUCGACGUCAGCGGCGGACGGAAGAGUAACACGUAGGUAACCUACCUAUAAGACUGGGAUGACUUCGGGAAACCGGAGCUAAUACCGGAUAAUAUUUCGAACCGCAUGGUUCGAUAGUUGAAGAUGGCUUUGCUAUCAGUAAUAGAUUGACCUGCGCCGUAUUAGCAAGUUGGUAAGGUAACGGGUUAGCAACGCAACGAUAAUUAGCCGACCUCAGAGAGUGAGUGCCUAGAUGGGAACUGAGACACGGUCCACACUCCUACACGGGGCAACAGUAGGGAAUCUUCCGCGAUGGGCCAAUGCAUAAUGGAGCACCACCGCGGGAGUGAUGAAGCUCCAAGGAUCCGAAAAUUCUGUUAGUCGUGAAGAACAAAAGUGUAUGUAACCGUGCUCGUCUUGACGGUACCUAAACAGAAAGCCACGGCUAACUACGUG